rnacentral:rRNA from 1 species
UGAGAUAUCCAAUGUAGUCACUAAGUUACUCUAGGGAUAACAGACUGAUCUUCUCCAAGAACUCACAACAACGGGAAGGUUUGGCACAUUGAUGUUGGCUCUUCACCACAUGGGGUUGUAGUAUGUUCCAAGGGUUGGGUUGUUCACCUAUUAAAGAGGUACGUGAGCAGGGUUCAGAACAUCAUGAGACGACCAGACUA